GGGCGGUGGUUGUCCCGGGGUAAGGGUGUAGGCCGCAAGGUAGGCAAAUCCGCCUUGCAUACGGCUGAGACCUGAUGCCGAGCCGAUUGUGGUGAAGUGGAUGAUCCUAUGCUGUCGAGAAAAGCCUCUAGCGAGUUUCAUGGCGGCCCGUACCCUAAACCGACUCAGGUGGUCAGGUAGAGAAUACCGAGGCGUUCGGGUGAACUAUGGUUAAGGAACUCGGCAAAAUGCCCCCGUAACUUCGGGAGAAGGGGGGCCACAUCUGGUGAUCGGAUUUACUCCGUGAGCUGGUGGUGGCCGCAGAGACCAGCGAGAAGCGACUGUUUACUAAAAACACAGGUCCGUGCGAAGCCGUAAGGCGAUGUAUACGGACUGACGCCUGCCCGGUGCUGGAACGUUAAGGGGACCGGUUAGCUCACUUUCGGGUGGGCGAAGCUGAGAACUUAAGCGCCAGUAAACGGCGGUGGUAACUAUAACCAUCCUAAGGUAGCGAAAUUCCUUGUCGGGUAAGUUCCGACCUGCACGAAUGGCGUAACGACUUCUCGACUGUCUCAACCAUAGGCCCGGUGAAAUUGCACUACGAGUAAAGAUGCUCGUUUCGCGCAGCAGGACGGAAAGACCCCGGGACCUUUACUACAGUUUGAUAUUGGUGUUCGGUUCGGCUUGUGUAGGAUAGCUGGGAGACUGUGAAGCAGGCACGCCAGUGUUUGUGGAGUCGUCGUUGAAAUACCAGUCUGGUCGUGCUGGAUGUCUAACCUGGGUCCGUGAUCCGGAUCAGGGACAGUGUCUGAUGGGUAGUUUAACUGGGGCGUUGCCUCCUAAAGGGUAACGGAGGCGCCCAAAGGUUCCCUCAGCCUGGUUGGCAAUCAGGUGUUGAGUGUAAGUGCACAAGGGAGCUUGACUGUGAGACCGACGGGUCGAGCAGGGACGAAAGUCGGGACUAGUGAUCCGGCGGUGGCUU
rnacentral:rRNA from 1 species